AUUGAACGCUAGCGGGAUGCUUUACACAUGCAAGUCGAACGGCAGCGCGGACUUCGGUCUGGCGGCGAGUGGCGCACGGGUGAGUAAUGUAUCGGAACGUGCCCAGUAGCGGGGGAUAACUACGCGAAAGCGUAGCUAAUACCGCAUACGCCCUACGGGGGAAAGCAGGGGAUCGUAAGACCUUGCACUAUUGGAGCGGCCGAUAUCGGAUUAGCUAGUUGGUGAGGUAACGGCUCACCAAGGCGACGAUCCGUAGCUGGUUUGAGAGGACGACCAGCCACACUGGGACUGAGACACGGCCCAGACUCCUACGGGAGGCAGCAGUGGGGAAUUUUGGACAAUGGGGGCAACCCUGAUCCAGCCAUCCCGCGUGUGCGAUGAAGGCCUUCGGGUUGUAAAGCACUUUUGGCAGGAAAGAAACGUCGCGGGCUAAUACCCCGUGGAACUGACGGUACCUGCAGAAUAAGCACCGGCUAACUACGUG
rnacentral:rRNA from 1 species